GGGAGGGCUGAGACCAGCGCCCUUCGGCCCCGUCUGGGCUUAGAAGUCCCCUUCGGUUCUCUUUAAUGGUAGGGGGAAGGUCCCAAGAUGCCCAAGUCCAGCGUGCAGAGGCCUGUCCGCAGCUUUGUGGACAGCCAUGCGGGAUGGGCGUCCCCAGUGGCUGCUCCACUCCUCCACGGCCUGAGCAUCGUGGCGCAGACGCUGGCCCGGUGGGAGCGUGACCUGGCUGUGCAGUUGGCCGUAUCCGGGCCUCUCCUGAUGUGGUGCUGGCAGAACGCCUCUGGCUGCUGAGUGAACUGUCUGGAGGAGCCCGAUGGAAGCAGAGAGACAGGGUGAGAAGAGGAGGAAUCAGCAAAGGAGACCUAGGAGGAGUGGCCAGAGGGAGAGAACCAAGAGCAUCUUGGAAGCCAAGUGAAGACAGUCAGAUGCUGGCAAGAGUGUCUGAGAGGAUGGAGAACCGGCCUUGGACUGGGCAACAUGGAGGUCCCAGGCGACCCUGACAAAGCUGCUUUGGGGACAUGGCGGAGUGAAAGCCCAGUAAGAGUGGGUCCGAGAGAGAAUGUUGGACUCCUCGCCCACUCCCUCAGUGCUUAGUCCAACUUUUAACUAUGUCCUCAAGCCUCCUCCUCCCUUGCCCCUCCACUCACUCCAGGAAUCCAUCCUGUCUCCCUCGGGUCAGAUCCCCCCAGCUUCCAUCUAUCAAACCCGCACGAUCUCUCGCCCUUACCUGCUCCUCCCUGUAUCCCUCCUGCCAGGGUGGUGCCUCCACCUGUGACCUGGACCCUAUUCCAUCUCGCCUUCUCGAGGCCUCAUUCCACGAACAUCCCUCAUUUCCUGGUGUCCCCAUCCACCCUCUCUGCUCACUGGUGUGUCCCAGCAUUAAACAUUA